rnacentral:tRNA from 1 species
UCCGGUGUAGCUCAACGGUAGAGCAGCUCCCCGUUAAGGAGACGGUUGCAGGUUCGAAUCCCGCCGCCGGAG